rnacentral:rRNA from 1 species
UUUGUUAUUUAAUUACUAAAUUUAUUUAAUUUUAUUUUUGUUUUAUAUUAAAAAUAAUUAUAAUGUUAUUGGUUUUAGUAUAUUAUAUAGAAAAAAUAUUUAUAGUGAUAGUUUAUUAGUACUGUGAGGGAAAUUUGAAAUAUAUUGAAAAGUUAACAUUUAAUAAGAAUAUUUUAUUUAUUGUACCUUUUGUAUCAGGGUUAAUUAAUUAAUAAUUAACUAAUUUAAUUUUCUCGAUUUCAGAAGAGUUAAUAAGUUGUAAAAGUUAAUGUGGAAUAAUUAUUUUUAACAAUUUAUUGGAAAUGAAAAGUUAAUCGUUUUUGAAGGUAUCUAGUUUUUUAAGAUUUGAAUUUAAUUCAUUUAUAGUAGUUGAUUAAUAUUUAUUUUUUAGGUUUAAUUAUUACUAUAAAAAAGGUAGGGGGGAUAAGCUCUUUAUUUAUUUUAAAAAGAUUAAUUAAUAAAUAAUAUUUUGUAGGCUUAGAAUUAGCUAACAUUGUUAAGUGUGUUAUAAUUUAUUAUUUAUUAUUUAAUAUUUAUUAUUCUUUUAUUUAAUUAUUAAAAUUUUUCAUUUAAUAUUUUUAUGUAAAUAAUAAUGGUUAAAUUAGUAUAUUUUUAAUGUAAUUUUAAAUAAUUUUUUUGAGAUUAUUUUAAUUAAUUCGGCAAAUAUUAUGUUCGCCUGUUUAUCAAAAACAUGUCUUUUUGUAUUUUAAUAUAAAGUCUGACCUGCCCACUGAUAGUAUUAAAUGGCCGCAGUAUUUUAACUGUGCAAAGGUAGCAUAAUCAUUAGUUUUUUAAUUGGAGGCUAGAAUGAAUGGUUGGACGAGGCAUAUACUGUAUCAAUUUAAUUUAUGGAAUUUUAUUUUUCAGUCAAAAAGCUGAAAUAAUAAUAAAAGACGAGAAGACCCUAUAGAUCUUUAUAUUUAAUUUAUUUUUAGUUAUUUGGUUAAAUUUAAUUAAUAUUAAUUUAAGUAUUUUGUUGGGGUGACAUUAAGAUUUAUAUAACUCUUGAUUUAUAUUUACAUUAAUUUUUGGAUAAUAAAUUGAUCCUUUAUUACGGAUUAAAAGUUUAAGUUACCUUAGGGAUAACAGCGUAAUUUUUCUGGCGAGUUCAUAUCAAUAGGAAAGGUUGCGACCUCGAUGUUGGAUUAAGAUUAAUUUUGGGUGCAGAAGCUCAAUUUAUUAAGUCUGUUCGACUUUUAAUUUCUUACAUGAUCUGAGUUCAAACCGGCGUGAGCCAGGUUGGUUUCUAUCUUUAUUUAUAGAUAGUAUUUUAGUACGAAAGGACCAAAUACUUAAAUUAUUAAUUUUGUGAAAUUGAAUAUUAUUAAUAUGCU